AGAGUUUGAUCAUGGCUCAGAAUGAACGUUGGCGGCGUGGAUUAGGCAUGCAAGUCGAACGGGCCUGGUUUUCGGAUCAGGUCAGUGGCGCAAGGGUGAGUAAGGCGACGGCAACCAACCCCAUGGUUGGGCAUAGCCGCGGGAAACUGCGGGUAAUUCCCAGCGAUGUUCGUGUCGGGCAUCCGAUGUGAACCAAAGUUCUGGCGCCGUGGGACGGGCCGUCGUGGUAUUAGGUAGUUGGCGGGGUAAUGGCCCACCAAGCCGAUGAUGCCUACCGGGCGUGCGAGCGUGGCCCGGCACACUGGGACUGAGACACUGCCCAGACUCCUACGGGAGGCUGCAGUCGAGAAUCUUCGGCAAUGGGCGCAAGCCUGACCGAGCGACGCCGCGUGGAGGAUGAAGGCCUUCGGGUUGUAAACUCCUGUCGAGGGGGAGGAAGGGGUAACCUUGACCGAUCCCUGGAGGAAGCACGGGCUAAGUUCGUGCCAGCAGCCGCGGUAAGACGAACCGUGCUAACGUUAUUCGGAAUCACUGGGCUUAAAGCGCGUGUAGGCGGAUGGGGACGUCGGUUGUUGAAAGCCCCCGGCUCAACCGGGGAACUGGCACCGAAACGCCCCGUCUGGAGGGACGUAGGGGGACCUGGAACUUCCGGUGGAGCGGUGAAAUGCGUUGAGAUCGGAAGGAACGCCCGUGGCGAAAGCGAGGUCCUGGACGUUUUCUGACGCUGAGACGCGAAAGCUAGGGGAGCGAACGGGAUUAGAUACCCCGGUAGUCCUAGCUGUAAACGAUGGGCACUAGAUAGGGGGCUCGCCGAUGGGCUCCCUGUCGUAGGGAAACCGUGAAGUGCCCCGCCUGGGGAGUAUGGUCGCAAGGCUGAACCUAAAGGAAUUGACGG
rnacentral:rRNA from 1 species